AGAGUUUGAUCCUGGCUCAGAACGAACGCUGGCGGCAGGCUUAACACAUGCAAGUCGAGCGCCCGCAAGGGGAGCGGCAGACGGGUGAGUAACGCGUGGGAAUCUACCGUGCCCUACGGAAUAGCUCCGGGAAACUGGAAUUAAUACCGUAUACGCCCUUUGGGGGAAAGAUUUAUCGGGGUAUGAUGAGCCCGCGUUGGAUUAGCUAGUUGGUGGGGUAAAGGCCUACCAAGGCGACGAUCCAUAGCUGGUCUGAGAGGAUGAUCAGCCACAUUGGGACUGAGACACGGCCCAAACUCCUACGGGAGGCAGCAGUGGGGAAUAUUGGACAAUGGGCGCAAGCCUGAUCCAGCCAUGCCGCGUGAGUGAUGAAGGCCCUAGGGUUGUAAAGCUCCUUCACCGGUGAAGAUAAUGACGGUAACCGGAGAAGAAGCCCCGGCUAACUUCGUG
rnacentral:rRNA from 1 species